UGUUCCGAGCAUAUAUUUAAAAUUCCUAUAAAAAAAGAUAAUAGUCAAUAUCAAAGUAGCAGACGACAUGGAAGUCAUCGGACUUGAGAGCAAAUUAUAAUAGCCAUUCUGACGUGUUUAUUUGUUGCGCCUGUUCAGCGGUGAAAUCUGUUAUUUGACUCAUAAAAAUGUUAAAAAAGAGGAUUUUAUUGUUUGCGCAAAAAAGCACACAGGAUAAUUAGAUUAUUUUACAUACAUUUCCGAAGGAUUCGUAUAUACGUCAAAAAUGGAUUGAGGCUUGUGGAUUGCAUAAUAAAGAUGUAUCUCGUUUUUAUAUUUGCUUAAAUCACUUUGAAUUAUCUGAGAAUUUACUUGCAUUGAAGAGAUUACCUUUUGAGGCUAUAUCCACUGCAGAAAAAGCUGUACCAAAUCAUCCAGUUAAAUCAUCAAAUAUGUCAACAAAUAUUACAAAUGUAUUAAAAUCAAAGGGAAUGUUGCAUCUCCAACUGUAUUAUACAUAAUGGAUGGAAUAUUAUUCAGUCAAUAUUGAAAGUUGCGAUUCCUGAUCAUUCAUUGCCAAUGAUAGAAAAUACUUAUGUGUCUAAAACAUCUGAAGUAAAUGUUAUAUCUCCAACAGUACCUGAUGUAAUAGACUGAUAAUGCUGACAUAAUGGAAUGUGAUAACACUUCAGCCAAUAUCAAAAGUUUCAAUUUUUGAUCAUUCAUAUUGUGAAGAGAACGUUUCUUCUCAGGAAAACGGUUGUUUGCACAGUCUCAAUGUAUUUCGGAAAUUUAUAUUAGUGAUGCUCACCAAAAAAGUGCAGGAAGAGUAAUUAAUUUUAUUAAAGAAGAGGAUCAAAAGAAACAGUUGAAUUAGGUGUUUGAAUGAUUACAACAAAAGACUUCUAAAACAAUUUGUUACAUCGCAGGAAUUAGUAUCUCAUUUAAAAGAAACAAUUUCUGAAGAUGUAGAUAAUAUACUGAUCAAUAUGAUAAAAGCCUAAUAGAUAUCUUUUCUUAGAUAUAUAAUAAAAGGAAUUAUCAAAAA
rnacentral:lncRNA from 13 species